ACAGGCCUGCUUUUGAAGACAGAGAAGCUGAGGCCCAGAAAGGGCCUUUCUAGAGAAAAGUGCCCCAUCUACAGUCCUUCUGAAAGAGCAGCCCUGGCAGACCACGUGAUCAACAGUAUAAAACUGACUGGAUCUGGCGUUGACACUUGAUUCCAAAGACCAAGAAUUUAAUACCAAAAGCCAUAGGCUAGCCAGCAAGCUAUGAUGUGGUCUGGCUUAAAAGAGUGAACUGGGUCAGAUUCUACUUCCUAGAUAUUCAACUAGUAAAAUCAAGAAAUGUAGCAGGUAUUAACAGGCACUAAAGCCAAAAUGGCUUUAUGUACACAGAGGCCAGGGAAGUCACUGUGAUUCUCAUGUAAGCCAGUUUUAAUAGACCCAACACAAAAAGAGGAACAGACACUGUAAGAGACCACAUAGCCCACUAGAAAGAGUAAGCAGUCCACAGAAAUGAGUCCCUGAUAACUGAGGCUCAGCUGUACUACAACUUGUGUUACAAGACUCUUGGAAGAU
rnacentral:lncRNA from 1 species